GCGACCCCAGGAUGGGCGAGGCCACCCGCCGAGUUUAAGCAUAUCAAUA
rnacentral:rRNA from 7 species